AGAGUUUGAUCAUGGCUCAGAUUGAACGCUGGCGGCAGGCCUAACACAUGCAAGUCGAACGGUAACAGGAAGCAGCUUGCUGUUUCGCUGACGAGUGGCGGACGGGUGAGUAAUGUCUGGGAAACUGCCUGAUGGAGGGGGAUAACUACUGGAAACGGUAGCUAAUACCGCAUAACGUCGCAAGACCAAAGAGGGGGACCUUCGGGCCUCUUGCCAUCGGAUGUGCCCAGAUGGGAUUAGCUUGUUGGUGGGGUAACGGCUCACCAAGGCGACGAUCCCUAGCUGGUCUGAGAGGAUGACCAGCCACACUGGAACUGAGACACGGUCCAGACUCCUACGGGAGGCAGCAGUGGGGAAUAUUGCACAAUGGGCGCAAGCCUGAUGCAGCCAUGCCGCGUGUAUGAAGAAGGCCUUCGGGUUGUAAAGUACUUUCAGCGGGGAGGAAGGGAGUAAAGUUAAUACCUUUGCUCAUUGACGUUACCCGCAGAAGAAGCACCGGCUAACUCCGUGCCAGCAGCCGCGGUAAUACGGAGGGUGCAAGCGUUAAUCGGAAUUACUGGGCGUAAAGCGCACGCAGGCGGUUUGUUAAGUCAGAUGUGAAAUCCCCGGGCUCAACCUGGGAACUGCAUCUGAUACUGGCAAGCUUGAGUCUCGUAGAGGGGGGUAGAAUUCCAGGUGUAGCGGUGAAAUGCGUAGAGAUCUGGAGGAAUACCGGUGGCGAAGGCGGCCCCCUGGACGAAGACUGACGCUCAGGUGCGAAAGCGUGGGGAGCAAACAGGAUUAGAUACCCUGGUAGUCCACGCCGUAAACGAUGUCGACUUGGAGGUUGUGCCCUUGAGGCGUGGCUUCCGGAGCUAACGCGUUAAGUCGACCGCCUGGGGAGUACGGCCGCAAGGUUAAAACUCAAAUGAAUUGACGGGGGCCCGCACAAGCGGUGGAGCAUGUGGUUUAAUUCGAUGCAACGCGAAGAACCUUACCUGGUCUUGACAUCCACAGAACUUUCCAGAGAUGGAUUGGUGCCUUCGGGAACUGUGAGACAGGUGCUGCAUGGCUGUCGUCAGCUCGUGUUGUGAAAUGUUGGGUUAAGUCCCGCAACGAGCGCAACCCUUAUCCUUUGUUGCCAGCGGUCCGGCCGGGAACUCAAAGGAGACUGCCAGUGAUAAACUGGAGGAAGGUGGGGAUGACGUCAAGUCAUCAUGGCCCUUACGACCAGGGCUACACACGUGCUACAAUGGCGCAUACAAAGAGAAGCGACCUCGCGAGAGCAAGCGGACCUCAUAAAGUGCGUCGUAGUCCGGAUUGGAGUCUGCAACUCGACUCCAUGAAGUCGGAAUCGCUAGUAAUCGUGGAUCAGAAUGCCACGGUGAAUACGUUCCCGGGCCUUGUACACACCGCCCGUCACACCAUGGGAGUGGGUUGCAAAAGAAGUAGGUAGCUUAACCUUCGGGAGGGCGCUUACCACUUUGUGAUUCAUGACUGGGGUGAAGUCGUAACAAGGUAACCGUAGGGGAACCUGCGGUUG
rnacentral:rRNA from 1 species